UCAGCAGUCCAGAAUAUUAGUCAAUGCUCGAAAGAGUGAACUAGCUAACUGAAAUCAAUAAAAUAAUUGAUAACAUAAGGGAAAAUAAUGAUAUUACCUUAUUAUUAGUGUCGUCCAAAACUGGUGCCAGAAGACUCGGUAAGGCCAGAGACACAAACGUUAAUCGUCUUAAUCAGGCGUAAAGGGUUUGUAGGCGGCUUUAAAAUUUACUUACAAAACAAAAAUAAUAAGUAAAGAAUAAAAGCUAGAAUCAAAUAGAGGAUAUAUGAAAGAAUGCUUAGAGUAGGUCUGAUAUCCUUAGAUACUAAGUAGAAUAUUAAAGGCGAAAGCUUUUUUCCAUUAAUGAUUGACGCUCAGAAACGAAGGUGAGGAUAGGAAAUAGGAUUAGAUACCCAGAAUACCCCUCUCUGUCAACGAUGAAUGGUAGUUAUUAGUACAAAUUAUUAAUGGCAAUGUUAACACGAUAACCAUUCCGCCUUGUGAGUACAACUGCAAAGUUGAAAACAAAAAAAUUAGUCGGUUUCGGAGCAAACGAAGUGAAGCAUGUUAUUUAAUUCGAUAAUCCGC
rnacentral:rRNA from 1 species